CAGCAGCCGCGGUAAUACGAAGGGGGCUAGCGUUGCUCGGAAUUACUGGGCGUAAAGGGCGCGUAGGCGGACAGUUCAGUCGGGGGUGAAAGCCCGGGGCUCAACCUCGGAAUUGCCUUCGAUACUGGCUGUCUUGAGUAUGAGAGAGGUGUGUGGAACUCCGAGUGUAGAGGUGAAAUUCGUAGAUAUUCGGAAGAACACCAGUGGCGAAGGCGACACACUGGCUCAUUACUGACGCUGAGGCGCGAAAGCGUGGGGAGCAAACAGGAUUAGAGACCCCAGUAGUCCCUGUCUCUUAUAC
rnacentral:rRNA from 1 species